CCUACGGGCGGCUGCAGGGGGGAAUAUUGGACAAUGGGGGGAACCCUGAUCCAGCCAUGCCGCGUGUGUGAAGAAGGCCCUCGGGUUGUAAAGCACUUUCAGUGAGGAAGAACGCCUUGUGGUUAAUACCCAUCACGAAAGACAUCACUCACAGAAGAAGCACCGGCUAACUCCGUGCCAGCAGCCGCGGUAAUACGGAGGGUGCGAGCGUUAAUCGGAAUUACUGGGCGUAAAGCGCGCGUAGGUGGCUUGAUAAGCCGGUUGUGAAAGCCCCGGGCUCAACCUGGGAACGGCAUCCGGAACUGUCAAGCUAGAGUGCAGGAGAGGAAGGUAGAAUUCCAGGUGUAGCGGUGAAAUGCGUAGAGAUCGGGAGGAAUACCAGUGGCGAAGGCGGCCUUCUGGACUGAGACUGACGCUGAGGUGCGAAAGCGUGGGUAGCAAACAGGAUUAGAUACCCUUGUAGUC
rnacentral:rRNA from 1 species